rnacentral:rRNA from 1 species
AACGAACGCUGGCGGCAGGCUUAACACAUGCAAGUCGAACGCACCUUUCGGGGUGAGUGGCAGACGGGUGAGUAACGCGUGGGAAUCUACCCUUCUCUACGGGACAGCUCCGGGAAACUGGAAUUAAUACAGUAUACGUUCUGAGGGAGAAAGAUCUAUCGGGGAAGGAUGAGCCCGCGUUGGAUUCGCUAGUUGGUGGGGUAAAGGCCUACCAAGGCGAGGAUCCAUAGCUGGUCUAAGAGGAUGACCAGCCACAUUGGGACUGAGACACGGCCCAAACUCCGACGGGGGGGAGCAGUAUAGAAUAUUGGGCAAUGGGCGCAAGCCUGAUCCAGCCAUGCCGCGUGAGUGAUGAAGGCCCUAGGAUUGUAAAGCUCUUUCAGUGGAGACGAUAAUGACGGUACCCACAGAAGAAGCCCCGGCUAACUUCGUG